rnacentral:rRNA from 1 species
GAUGAACGCUGGCGGCGUGCCUAAUACAUGCAAGUCGAGCGAACAGAUGAGGAGCUUGCUCCUCUGACGUUAGCGGCGGACGGGUGAGUAACACGUGGAUAACCUACCUAUAAGACUGGGAUAACUUCGGGAAACCGGAGCUAAUACCGGAUAAUAUAUUGAACCGCAUGGUUCAAUAGUGAAAGACGGUUUUGCUGUCACUUAUAGAUGGAUCCGCGCCGCAUUAGCUAGUUGGUAAGGUAACGGCUUACCAAGGCAACGAUGCGUAGCCGACCUGAGAGGGUGAUCGGCCACACUGGAACUGAGACACGUUCCAGACUCCUACGGGAGGCAGCAGUAGGGAAUCUUCCGCAAUGGGCGAAAGCCUGACGGAGCAACGACGCGUGAGUGAUGAAGGUCUUCGGAUCGUAAAACUCUGUUAUUAGGGAAGAACAAAUGUGUAAGUAACUAUGCACGUCUUGACGGUACCUAAUCAGAAAGCCACGGCUAACUACGUG